rnacentral:rRNA from 1 species
AUGCGAUACUUGGUGUGAAUUGCAGAAUCCCGUGAACCAUCGAGUCUUUGAACGCAAGUUGCGCCCGAAGCCAUUAGGCCGAGGGCACGUCUGCCUGGGCGUCACGCAUCGCGUCGCCCCCGCGCACCGC